GAUGAACGCUGGCGGCGUGCCUAAUACAUACAAGUAGAACGCUGAAGGAGGAGCUUGCUCUUCUGGAUGAGUUGCGAACGGGUGAGUAACGCGUAGGUAACCUGCCUGGUAGCGGGGGAUAACUAUUGGAAACGAUAGCUAAUACCGCAUGACAACAGUUAUUGCAUGAUAACUGUUUAAAAGGGGCAACUGCUCCACUACCAGAUGGACCUGCGUUGUAUUAGCUAGUUGGUGAGGUAACGGCUCACCAAGGCGACGAUACAUAGCCGACCUGAGAGGGUGAUCGGCCACACUGGGACUGAGACACGGCCCAGACUCCUACGGGAGGCAGCAGUAGGGAAUCUUCGGCAAUGGACGGAAGUCUGACCGAGCAACGCCGCGUGAGUGAAGAAGGUUUUCGGAUCGUAAAGCUCUGUUGUAAGAGAAGAACGAGUGUGAGAGUGGAAAGUUCACACUGUGGCGGUAUCUUACCAGAAAGGGACGGCUAACUACGUG
rnacentral:rRNA from 1 species